UACCUACGGGAGGCAGCAGUGAGGAAUAUUGGUCAAUGGGCUUACGCCUGAACCAGCCAAGUCGCGUGAGGGAAGACUGCCCUAUGGGUUGUAAACCUCUUUUGUCAGGGAGCAACGCCGGCUACGUGUAGCCGGACUGAGAGUACCUGAAGAAAAAGCAUCGGCUAACUACGUGCCAGCAGCCGCGGUAAUACGUAGGUGGCGAGCGUUAUCCGGAUUUACUGGGUGUAAAGGGCGUGUAGGCGGGGAAGCAAGUCAGAUGUGAAAACCACGGGCUCAACCUGUGGGCUGCAUUGGAAACUGUU
rnacentral:rRNA from 1 species